CCACAGUAAAUGACUCUUAAAAUGUCACCACUGUUCAUUACUGCAAGUCGACUAUGGCCACAGUAAAUGACUCUUAAAAUGUCAUCACAGUUCAUUACUGCAAGUCGACUAUGGCAACAUUAAAUGCUAUCUAGGUCCCUGUGGCAUACAAAACGUGAUUUUCCAUUGUCACAUCGACGGUGGAAGACAGGUGAGCAAUGGUUUCAUAGGAUUUCUACAUGUUCUAGUGGUUACAAUAAUGUAAAAGAAAGUCAUAUAUAUUUUACUCUUCAUUGGAUCACAUAAGUUCAUAGGAAUUUGGUCGAAGUUCUAUCGCCAUUUCAUUCCGAUCUUUUUUUAUAUAUAUUUCAGUGACGUUUUGUGGUUGCUUAACCAUUGCAAAUUUAUUACAAACGUAGACGCGGCACCAAAAAGUUCCAUCGGAUAUGGAUUUUGCGUUUUCACGUUAGAGGCACUGACUGUCGUGGAGAAAAACAUCCAAGAUACCUUUUCAGAAAACGGGAACCACCCUUUGGUAAAGCUCGUAGCUAACGAAAAGCUGAAAUCAGCUUACAAGAAGAACAAAAGACUAGUUUCAUCGUAUACAGAAUCCGUCCUCGUCAAGGAAGCGUGUUCAGUGAUGAUGCAAGAGUUAUAAAGAGGCCACAGAGGCUCUGCAACGAACGGUGGCCAAAAGUAUUUUCACAGCAUAUAGCCUGGCAACAACUCACCGCUCGAGCAUAAAAGAAUAUUGAUCAAGCGCCCUAGCAGAUAGACGUAAAGCCUGGUGAACACAAAGACGCUAACAUCCUGCAGAAAAGUUCAACAUGGCUGACAACACCGUACGGUCGGAAGAUGUGUAAGGACAAAAGUGGGAUCGUUGCAUUACAGACACCGGUUUACUGUUAACUGUUGAGUUAUCGAUCCGGACAGAACUUAAGUGUGCACCACUGCAGUAUGAUGACAUUUAAGUUUUAUAGACUUUCAUGCAAUAGUUACUGUCACACAGCUCCGGACAUUGAAAGUGGAAGGACGGAGAACCACACAGAAACAAUAUCGGCGAAUGAUGAUGUAUAUUUGUUUUAAGUUUCGUGAAAUAGGUACUGUGAAAUAGCUCCGGACGUACAACCUUCCUGAAUUUCAAUCUAUUAAGGGGCAAUAAAUUAAUAACGCGUGCACCGCAGUAUGAUUGAACACAUUCAUAUUAAGUUUAAUGAAAUUUGAUAAAUAAUUAUUGAUAAACACCUCCGGACAUCGCCAAAAUAAUAUUCCUUCACUGUCUUAGAGGGGUAAAAAGCCAUCAUAAUGGAGGUGUCAUUUUGUCUACUUACAAGAGUUGGCGCAUUCGGAUUAAAUGCGUAUUCUACAUGCAAUAAUAAAUGCAUGCAAAAAUAAAUAUCUUUCUUGCAACAAGCGUAAAUCUACUGCAAAUCUUAGCAAAACAUUUGCAAAACGUAUGUGCGUGUGUAUAGUGACGCAAUCAUACGUUUUUCCAUAGGUAAUUUGUUUCUUAAUGACAAUAUGUUUAUAUUUGAUUAAUAAAAUACCUGGAUAUUAUA